CUGUUUGCGCAUGCUAUACAUGCAGUCGAGCGAAUGGAUUAAGAGCUUGCUCUUAUGAAGUUAGCGGCGGACGGGUGAGUAACACGUGGGUAACCUGCCCAUAAGACUGGGAUAACUCCGGGAAACCGGGGCUAAUACCGGAUAACAUUUUGAACCGCAUGGUUCGAAAUUGAAAGGCGGCUUUCGGCUGUCACUUAUGGAUGGACCCGCGUCGCAUUAGCUAGUUGGUGAGGUAACGGCUCACCAAGGCAACGAUGCGUAGCCGACCUGAGAGGGUGAUCGGCCACACUGGGACUGAGACACGGCCCAGACUCCUACGGGAGGCAGCAGUAGGGAAUCUUCCGCAAUGGACGAAAGUCUGACGGAGCAACGCCGCGUGAGUGAUGAAGGCUUUCGGGUCGUAAAACUCUGUUGUUAGGGAAGAACAAGUGCUAGUUGAAUAAGCUGGCACCUUGACGGUACCUAACCAGAAAGCCACGGCUAACUACGUGCCAGAAACCCCGCGGUAA
rnacentral:rRNA from 1 species